rnacentral:rRNA from 1 species
UACGUAGGGAGCAAGCGUUGUCCGGAAUCAUUGGGCGUAAAGCGCGUGUAGGCGGCUUGGUAAGUCUGCUCUGAAAGCCCGGGGCUCAACCCCGGGAGGCGGGUGGAUACUGUCGGGCUCGAGUCCGGAAGAGGCGAGUGGAAUUCCUGGUGUAGCGGUGAAAUGCGCAGAUAUCAGGAGGAACACCAAUGGCGAAGGCAGCUCGCUGGGACGUGACUGACGCUGAGACGCGAAAGCGUGGGGAGCAAACAGG